UUUGAAUUAGCGAGCUUUCAGCCACGGGCGAGCACGAAAAUGUCACUGCACCAACUGAUUCUGUCGACACCACCCCCUUGCCACGCCACCACGCCUAGCUUGGCAGCUCUCGUUGCGCCUCAGUCCACGAAAAUACCAAACUGGCUGUACAACGGGCUCCGCCAGACAAAAAUACAACUGCGAGGGGUCCGCCACCCUCCGCCGCCUCACCAGCGGACACAAAAAUAGAGCCCCCAGGUGUUGUUUUUCUUAUGGUAUCUUGAAAACUCCCUAGAUAGAAACAAUAUAAGGCCCUUUCACUUAUCUUAGCAGCACUGUGACCAUCAAAUGCCCCUCAGCAGUUUCUGUGAGAAGGUCACAUAAACCGCUUUAUGUGGGCAUAUCUUGAAUAUUGUCCAGUAAAGAUAACCCAUGAUCUUACAUGUUUUUGAAGAGUAGCAGGAAAGAUAACCCAUGAUCUUACGUGUAUUUGAAGAGUUAUUAGACUUACAACACACAUCAUGUGAAUUUAUAACAGCUGAGCAUGGGUUUUCCAAGAGAAAAUACAGAACAUCAUCUAAAAAUGACUCCACAAAAAAUCUUAAUUCACAGUCUUACUUGGCCCUGGCAUGUUUAUAAGAGGUGUAGUGCAGUUCAGAUGUGUGUCACUUGGGGUAGGGAUGGAGACGUAUAAGAAUUAAGGAUACCAGUCUCCAAAGAUGCACUGGCGUUUCUACAAAUAGCUCCUACUGGUUUUAGAGUUGAUGUUGUGAGCAUGAUAGUAAGUCAUGAUGUGACACAAACUAUUUUGUCCUUGGGUUUGCCGUGAAUGCAGUAUGAGACACCACUGUAAACAUAAUUAAACCUUAAACAGUACCUCAUUCACAUCAAUAAGUUACUCGAGUUUUCCACGCAAAACUUUGUUAAUGCCUCCAGCGGACACAUACAUUUCUGAAGCUUCCUUAUUGAGCUUUUUAAAAGCUUUACAAAGCUUUCAUAUCCACUUAGUCCCUCUGAGUGAUUUCAAAUUAUUUUCAGAUUUUGUAAAGCCUGCCUUAAGGCUUAUGUAGAAACCGAACAAUGUGAUGAAAAGUGGUUGUUGUGUCCUUUUAGCAAAAAGGUUGUAAAUGAAGUUGAAGUUUUCUGUAAUUUUGAAGUUGCUCAAGGACUGAUGCUGUAGUUUAGGGGCAAAUGUCACCGAAAGAUUGUUCGAGUUUAAAUGGAAGUAAUUUAUUCCAGCCUUGUAUAAGUACAGAGCUGUGAAGCAAUCAACUACCAAAGAUGUGUGUUUUGAUUUAAACUGGAGGUUUUUCUGUAACAAAGCGAUGCUUUUUCUGCUUUGAUAAAAACCCACUCAGUAAUCUUGUGGUUUGAUGGAUGGGAAUAAGAUGAGAGCUGCUUUUGUUUUAUUGAAACGGCCCAAAGAGAAGUACAUGUCUAUGAGCUUGGCAGUACAUCAAGUUAGACAAGGCACUUUUUGUCAUCAUUCUGUCCGGUCAUUCUUGUGUAUGUGUCCAUUAGUAGUUCUCUAUGACUGGCAGAUGAAAAGUCCUUGUGGCACAAAUUUCUCAGGGUUGUCAUCCACUGUACAGCACAGAUCUGUUUUUGUUAUGUCUCACCAAAGGGGGUGACCCGCGGUUUAAAAUAACCACAGGCUUUUCUCUGAACUGUCUAUCCUGACCAAGAUGUCAGAGACUUUGGUCAGUGAUCAUUAAAAAGGAUUUUCAAGUACAAACAAUGUAUUGGACUUCCGAUCCAGUUCUAGAAAAAAAAAAAAAAAAAAACAUAAUUCUGUUGAAAGCUUUGAAGCUUUUCAUGAUUUGCCUGACUUUAAGCAGCUAUUUUAAUUAUGAUGAGGCAGUGGACCACACACUUUUGAAAUAAGACACUUGAGGGCUGAAGUGUUUGAAUAAGCAAAUCUAGCAGAUGGAAAUUAACGUGCAGGCUGAAGUUUACAAUAACAGCUCGCCUUGUAACAACAGGAGUGCCUCAGGGCUCAGUCCUCAGACCACUGCUUUUCUGGCACAAUAUCAAUGGAAAUCUUCCUGAUGUUUGUAUAAAUUUUAUGUGGCUAGUUCUAAUAUACUGCUUGACCCCUAACCUGGGGCUGCAGACUCAAAAUCACAAGCUGAAAGUAAUACCAUAAACACAGCAUAAUAGGAGGAUGAUGAGAAUGCUUUUUUGUGUGACACAAAACUAGGCGUAAUCGUGGUUUGGGUGGACAUUGUGAAAAAAGUGAAUGUCCCCUUUAAGAACGCAGCCAAAGGUCACAGACAAUUACUGAGUUGCUCCUUAAAUAUUUGCAGAUAACCCCACCAUAUAAGGCCACAUACGCCACAAAAAAAUACCACACUGUUGACACUCUGGCCUCCUGUGUGAGACUAACAAUCUUCUUACAGCUGUGUAUCUUCGGGCAAAUUUCAGCUUCAUACAUUUUUCCCCCGACUGCAGGUUGGUGAUGAAUUAAAGCCAAGUUACUUGUAAACAUUUAAUUCAACUUAUAAGUACUGAGAGACAUAAACAAACAUGCUCUAUAUAAAUAAACACCAAUCACCAUGCUUAUGUUGGGACAGGGCACAAAAAUGUGGAGGAAAAAAAACAUGUUGACAAAAAUAGGCUGAACAGUACUAACAUGAAGAUUUUCACUGACACUGGUGAAAAAAAAUUAGCUCUGUCAUGGGUUGUCCUCUGGACAGGACGAUGGUGGCUAAGCUAUCAUCUCGCAUGGACGUUCUUUCCCACCCCCGACAGAGCACUGUAAAAGCGCCUCCUUUAGUGACAGGCUUCUUCACCCGCGCUGUGUGACAGAGAGAUACCACAAGUCCUUCCUUCCUGCUGCAGUCAGACUAUUUAACCAGGGGGGUAUUCCAGAAAGCGGGUUAUGUGAAAAACUCUGAGUAAGUUAACCCUGAGAUGAGGGAAACUCUGAGUUAUCCGUUCCAGAAAGAGAGGUAACUUAAACACUGGGUCAGUUACUGCGGUAACUUACUCUGUGAACAUAACCUGGGGCCUGUUCUACGAAGCAGGAUUACUGCUUAGCGAGGUAACUUUGAGGAUAAGUUCGGGGUUUCCUGUUCUACGACGCGGGUUCACCUCUUAGCGAGGCGAGUCUCCAUAGCAACAUACGCUGAACGGCUAAACUGCUCCGGGGCAGGUUAAGUUCCAGAUUGAACUCACCGAGUAUAAAAACCCCGCCCGCUGACCAAUGAGCUCUCUCGAAAAACGGCUUGUCCGUUCUUGGAGGAUCCUGUACACCUCGGUGCUCGCAUUGUCCGAGGAGGAGCACUCCGGCUCGCGAGAGUUUUCAGGGAGAGUUUUCUCCGGAUGACCACCUUUAUGAAAGGCUUAUAUGGCCGACAUAUUACACAAAACAUGUAAACACGAUAGGAAUGAACAAAUGAAUGAUUCAUCUUGGGAAUGAAUGGGCAUGGGCUGCGUGAUCACAGACAACAUCUCGGUACUAUUUAGUAGCAGCGCACGCCCCUUAUAAUAACCCCAUAAAUACUGUUGUUCAGGACUGCUUACUUGUGCUUCCUACCCAGUGUAACAACCGUUGUUCUUGCCCACAUGCAACAUUUUUGUUCUCAUUCAUGAAACGCUUAAAUCAGGGACAUUUUCGGGGACAGCUUUAGCCGGGGACAGAUCAUCCAAUUCGGGGACUGUCACCUUAGUUAAAAGCGCAUGUUGAACAGUGCUAUUUCAGGGUGAUAAUGACAUCAAAGAUUACUUUUCUGCCAGCAUUCCCUCCGUGCUUUUGUAGCGGCGACGGUGUUGCUUUUGAGGUUUAUGAUAGCUUUCAAUUCUUCAUACUUUCUCAUGAUCGUCUCCUGUUCCUCGUUUGUAAAGUCCGCGGUCC